rnacentral:rRNA from 1 species
CCUACGGGAGGCAGCAGUGAGGAAUAUUGGUCAAUGGGCGCGAGCCUGAACCAGCCAAGUCGCGUGAGGGAAGACGGUCCUAUGUAUUGUAAACCUCUUUUGUCGGGGAGCAAAAGACGCCACGCGUGGCGUUCCGAGAGUACCCGAAGAAAAAGCAUCGGCUAACUCCGUGCCAGCAGCCGCGGUAAUACGGAGGAUGCGAGCGUUAUCCGGAUUUAUUGGGUUUAAAGGGUGCGCAGGCGGAAGGUCAAGUCAGCGGUAAAAGUGAGGGGCUCAACCCCGUCGAGCCGUUGAAACUGGUUUUCUUGAGUGAGUGAGAAGUACGCGGAAUGCGUGGUGUAGCGGUGAAAUGCAUAGAUAUCACGCAGAACUCCGAUUGCGAAGGCAGCAUACCGGCGCUCAACUGACGCUCAUGCACGAAAGUGUGGGUAUCGAACAGGAUUAGAUACCCGAGUAGUC